AUCAUGUUUGAUUUAUCAUAAAAGCCAACAUGUAUUUAUCCAGAUAGAAAAGUUCGAUUACUGUCUUCCCAUUACGAUCUUAGUGACGGGGGUGCAAAG